UAAUAUGGUCAAGUAAGAAAGGGCAUACGGGGGAUGCCCGGGCAUCAGGACGCGAUGAAGGACGUGGCUUUCUGCGAUAAGCUACGGGGAGCUGUAAGCAAGCUUUGAUCCGUAGAUUUCCGAAUGGGGAAACCCUCCACUGUGAAACGGUGGAACACGAAAGUGAGCAAAGUCGGGGAAUUGAAACAUCUUAGUACCCGGAAUUAAAAGAAAGAAACCUCGAUUCCGUCAGUAGCGGUGAGCGAAAGCGGAAGAGCCUAAACCUCUGUCUACGUUACAGAUCUGAAUCGCUGUAGCAGANGGGGUUGUAGGACAGGCAGUAGGAGUUCAGAAUCCUGCGCAAAGUUACCAAAUCACAUGAUAGUGGAACGGUUUUGGAAAAGCCGACCAAAGAGGGUGAAAGUCCCGUAGACGAAAUUGUGUGAUCUUUGGCCUGUAUCCUGAGUACCACGGAACACGUGUAAUUUUGUGGGAAACCGCGGGGCCCACCCCGCAAGGCUAAAC
rnacentral:rRNA from 1 species